AGUGAACUUAAGCCCCAGUAAACGGCGGCCGUAACUAUGACGGUCCUAAGGUAGGGAAAUUCCUUGUCGGGUAAGUUCCGACCCGCACGAAAGGCGUAACGAUUUGGGCACUGUCUCAACAACAGACUCGGUGAAAGUGUAAUUCCGGUGAAGAUGCCGGAUACCUGCGACAGGACGGAAAGACCCCAUGGAGCUUUACUGUAGCUUGACAUUGGGU
rnacentral:rRNA from 1 species